AUUGAACGCUGGCGGCCGGCCUAACACAUGCAAGUCGAGCGGAGCGGCGUACGGGUGAGUAAUGCAUAGGAAUCUGCCUGGUAGUGGGGGAUAACUUCGGGAAACCGUCGCUAAUACCGCAUACUAUCAGAUCAGCCUAGGUCGGAUUAGCUAGUUGGUGGGGUAACGGCCUACCAAGGCGACGAUCCGUAACUGGUCUGAGCGGAUGACCAGGCACACUGGAACUUCGACACGGCCCAGACGCCUACGGGAGGCAGCAGUGGGGAAUUGUGGAAUAUGGGCGAAAGCCUGAUCCAGCGAUGCCGCGUGUGUGAGGAGGGGAUUCGGGUUGUAGAGCACUUUAAGUUGGGAGGCGGUACCAGCAGAAUAAGCACCGGCUAACUACGUGCCAGCAGCCGCGGUAAUAC
rnacentral:rRNA from 1 species